UUUGUACUCCCUCCGUCCCAAAAUUCUUGUCUUAAAUUUGUCUAAAUACGGAUGUAUCUAGUUACAUUUUAGUGUUAGAUACAUCCGUAUCUAAACAAAUGUAAGACAAGAUUUUUGGGACGGAGGGAAUACUAC
rnacentral:pre_miRNA from 1 species